rnacentral:rRNA from 1 species
UUGGUUAAGGGCAAUUAAACGGCCGCGGUAAAUCUGACCGUGAUAAUGUAGCGCAAUCAAUAGCCAAUUAAUUGUUGGCAAGUAUGAAUGGCUUAACGAAUGCCCCACUGUCUCAAGAUAAAAACCAAUGAAAUUGAAGUUGUAGUGAAGAUGCUACAUUUAAAUUAUAAGACGAGAAGACCCCAUUGAGCUUUACUGGAGGCUUGUAUUGUCUUUUUCAAAUUAAUAUUUAGAUUAUGUGGGUGUUAUUAAUCAAUUAAAAAUUGUAUAAAUAUGGGAAACCACUUGUUAAUAAGGGGGAAGACUAAUUAAAAAGAGGAGUAUAAGUUGGACAGUUUAGUUGGGGCGACUGCCUUCUAAAUAGUAACGAAGGCGGGCAUAAGGUAAAUAAUCUAAUAAUAUAAAGUAAAAAGCCUGACAGUAAGAAGGACUUUCAAGCUGACACAAAUAAAAAGUUUAAUUUUGUGGGUUAUAAUGACCCGUUAGUGAAGAAUGGGAUUGCUAACGAUUAACGAAUAAAAGUUACCAUGGGGAUAACAGCGUAAUAUUGUUU